rnacentral:lncRNA from 1 species
CCUCGCGCGGCGGGCCCGGAUCUUCGCCACCGCCGUCAUUUGUGGGCGGAGAAAGGGCUGGAGAAAGGCGGGAAUCGCCCCUCGUCCCUCGCCGUGCGUUUCCCUGGACUUAAGGGCCGAAGGGACACCGGCGACUUGACCUCCUGAUUGCAGGGAGAGGCUCCUCCGUGCUCCUGAGAGGCCGAACACAGGGUCGCCAGCACAGCUUACUGCUCGGUGUCUCCUGAGCCACAGAGGAAGACGUGGCAGGAGCACCUGGUGCUAAUAUAUAUUCAUGUCUAUGGCAAUGCCGACCAUCUGGCUGGUCUGAACCAGGAUAAAAGUGAAGAAUUCCUCUGUGAAGACCCAGCUCUUUCUUUGGCUCCUUUUUUGAAGCCAUCUUUGCUCUGCUCUCCUCUGCUGCCCAGAAAGUUCCAGAGUGAAGCUCAGCUCUAGAUGAACAAAAACUGGUUGAGUCCAGAGAUGCCUGAGUUGGAGAUGAACCUUGCAAACUUUCCUCAUUACCAUACUAAAAACCCCACCCAGGAAGGAGCUUAUCUGCCAUUUCCUACACAUGUGACAUAUGGAGAAGCAUGAUCAGCUACUUCACAGUCUCUGCCUUUACUCUGCCUCCGCAUACAAUGGCUCAGCCAACUAGCCUAACGAAAGCUGUUUUCACCAUUGUUUGGGAGGUACUGCUUUGGGAAACUGCCCCAGCUGUCCUCCUUACUUGUUGUAGGUAAUAAAAUCCCUUUGUUAAAUCUUCCUUGGUUGUGGUCUUUGGACUGUCACCCACCAAGUGAUAAAACCCACCCAUUGUGUGGGUAACAAUAUUAUCUAAAAUUCAAUAUGUAAAUGCUGGAG